AUCGGUCUUAGCUUAUUGGCUAUCAUGACAGAAUCAAAAUCUGUUUGCGCAUGUUCGAAACCUGCUGACGAUG